GCUGGAGCAUUUGGCCAAUUUGCUACUGGAAUUGGCAACACUGAUGCUGGCUUUGUAUUUGGCACUGGGAAGCUCCUGCUCAAGGUGCCUCCAACUCUGAGAUUUGUAAUGGACGGCGAAAUGCCUGAUUAUUUGCUUGCAAAGGAUUUGAUUUUGCAAAUUAUUGGUGAAAUAUCUGUGUCUGGUGCAACGUAUAAAUCAAUGGAGUUUGUGGGCACCUUGAGCAGGAGCUUCCCAGUGCC
rnacentral:misc_RNA from 1 species